GUAGUGUCUUCCAGAAAUACUCUCACAGGCACACCCAGGACAAAUGUUCUACCAGCUAUCUGGGCGUUGCUUAGGCCAGUCAAGUUGACACAUAAAAUUAACCAACGAAGUAAUUCUAACAAAGAUUUAUAACCAGAUUACACUCUUCUGAAGCUAAAGAACUGCUAAUGGAGAUAGCAGUCAUCAGUUACUGUGAUAGUUAAUGUUGAGUGUCAACUUGAUUGGAUUGAAAAAUGUGAAGUAUUGUUUCUGGGUGUGUCAGUGAGGGUGCUGCCAAAAGAGAUUAACAUUUGAGUUAGUGGACUAAGAAAGGCAGACCCACUCUCAAUCUGGGUGGGCACCAUCUAAUCGGCUGCCAACAUGGCUAGGAUAAAAGCAGGCAGAGGAAUGUGGAAGGACUAAACUGGCAGAAUCUUCUGGCCUCCAUCUUUCCCCUGUGCUGGAUGCUUCCUGCCCUCAAACAUCGGACUCCCAAGUUCUUCAGCUUUUGGACUCUUGGACUUACAUCACUGAUUUGCCAGGGGCUCUGAGGCCUUUGGCCACAGGCUGAAGGCUGCACUAUCAGCUUCCCUACUUUUAAAGUUUUGGGACUUGGAAUUGCUUCCUGGCUCCUCAGCUUGCAGACAGCCUAUUGUGGGACUUCACCUUAUGAUCAUGUCUCAGCAGGACAGCUUAUCUCUGCUCCAUGUGGCCUAACUGGGGUUGGAUGACCCACCUCCAAGAUGGCUUACUUUCAUGAAUGGCCUUCAAUGGAUUGCACGAAGCCCAACCAUACUGGGGAAGGCAAUCUACUUCACUCAGUCUACACAAUAACUCCCUUCUUUUUCUGCUGAUUCAGAGGAAGCUAACUCUACAGCAGAAGCAGUGAGUCACAAGGACAAGAACCAAAUGAUAUGGACGACCCCAUCACAACAACUCAAGCUGGUGUAAACAUUCUCACAUGGCAUGAGAAUGAAACAUAAUGCAGUGCUCCCUCUCCCCAGACCUGGGUCACAUUCCUCUAUGGAUUAAAUGCAAUAGCAGUUAGGUUUUAAUUGCAUUCCUUUGAGCAAUGUCAUUUAUUUUACCUGUUGUUUACCAUUAAAUUUAUGUCCUGGAAGAUGUUGAUAAAACUACAAGAAGGAAAGUAUCCUUUUGCUAUGGUUUGAAUAGCAAACCAAAAUUUGUGUUGAAAUUUUAUCCCAAAUGUGGCAGAGAAUUAGUCCAUUCUCAUGCUGCUAAUAAGGACAUACCCAAGACUCGGUAAUUGAUAAAGGAAAGAUGUUUAAUUGACUCACAGUUCAGCAUGGUUGGGGAGGCCUCAGAAAACUUACAAUCAUGGUGGAAGGGGAACCAAACACGUCCUCCUUCACAUGGUGGCAAGAGAGACAAGUGCAGAGAAAAGGAGGGGAAAGCCCCUUAUAAAAUCAUCAACUCUCAUGAGAACUCACUCACUAUCAUCAGAACAGCAUGGAGGUAACCGCCCCCAUGAUUCAAUUACCUCCCACUAAGUCCUUCCCAUGACCCAUGGGGAUUAUAGGAUACCUGAGAACUUUGACAUGUUUCUGACAUGCCCUGAAAACAGCUGCCACAUUGCCUCAGUGAUUAACAUUCGGCUCCUCAUCACAUAUGCAAAUUUCAGCAGCCGGCUUGAAUUUCUCCCAAGAAAAUGGGUUUUUCUUUUCUGUCACAUAAUCAGGCUGCAAAUUUUCCAAACUUUUAUGCUCUGCUUCCUCUUGAACACCUUGCCACUUAGAAAUUGCUUCUGUCAGAUUCCCUAAAUCAUCUCUCUCAAGUUUAAAGUUUCACAGAUCUCUAGGGCAGGGGCAAAAUGCCGCCAGUCUCUUUGCAUAGCAAGAGUGACAUUUACUCCAGUUUCCAACAAGUUCCUCAUCUCCAUCUGAGACCACCUCAGCCUGGACUUUAUUGCCCAUAUCACUAUCAGCAUUUUAGUCAAAGCCAUUCGACAAGUCUCUAGGAAGUUCCAAACUUUCCCACUUCUUCCUGCCUUCUUAGCCCUCCAAGUCUCUAAGAGUUUCCAAACUUUCCCACAUUUUCCUGUCUUCUGAGCCCUCCAAAUGGUUUCAACCUCUGCCUGUUACCCAGUUCCAAAGUUACUUCCACAUUUUCAGGUACCUUUACAGCAGCGCCCCACUCUCUGUGGUACCAAUUUACUGUAUUAGUCCCUUCUCCCACCUCUAUAAGGACAUAUCUGAGACUGGGUAAUUUAUAAAGGAAGGAGGUUUAAUUGACUCACAGUUCCACAGGGCGGGGGAGGCCUCAAGAAACUUACAAUCAUGGUGGAAGGGGAAGCAAACACGUCCUUCUUCACAUGGCAGCAGGAGAUGUGCAGAGAGAAGUGGGGGAAAGCCCCUUCUAAAACCAUCAGAUCUCAUGAGAUCUCAUCAGAUCUCAUAAGAACUCACUCAAUAUCAUAAGAACAUGAUAUGGAGGUAACCGCUGCCAUGAUUCAAUUACCUCCCAUGGGGUUUUUUCCAUGACAUGCAGGGAUUAUGGGAGCUACAAUUCAGUAUGAGAUUUAGGUGCGGACACAGCCAAAACCAUAUCAGGCAGUAUUGAGAAGUGAAGCAUUUAAGAGGUGAUUGGGUCAUGAGGGCUCUGCCCUCAUGAAUGACUUAGUCUAUUCACAGAUUAAUGAAAUAGUGAGUUAUCAUUGGAAGGGAACUGUGGCUAUAUAGGAAAAGGAAGAAAAACCUAAGCUAGCAUGUUAGCGCACUCAGCCCCCUUGCCACGUGAUGCUCUGCACUGCCUCAGGACUCUGCAGCAUCCCCAUUAGCAAGAAAAUGUGGCAUAUAUACACCACGG
rnacentral:lncRNA from 1 species